GGCUAGCCUCAUGGUGUGGUGGUUUGAACAUUGGACUAUGACUCUGGAAAACCGGGUUCGAAUCCCUGUUUAGCCA